rnacentral:rRNA from 1 species
AUUGAACGCUGGCGGCAUGCUUUACACAUGCAAGUCGAGCGGCAGCGCGGGGGCAACCCUGGCGGCGAGCGGCGAACGGGUGAGUAAUGCAUCGGAACGUACCCUGGAGUGGGGGAUAACGCCGCGAAAGCGGCGCUAAUACCGCAUAUGCUCUGAGGAGGAAAGUGGGGGACCCGCAAGGGCCUCACGCUCUGGGAGCGGCCGAUGUCCGAUUAGCUAGUUGGUGGGGUAAAGGCUUACCAAGGCGACGAUCGGUAGCUGGUCUGAGAGGAUGAUCAGCCACACUGGGACUGGGACACGACCCAGACGCCUACGGGAGGCAGCAGUGGGGAAUUUUGGACAAUGGGGGCAACCCUGAUCCAGCCAUGCCGCGUGAGUGAAGAAGGCCUUCGGGUUGUAAAGCUCUUUUGGUCGGGAAGAAAGUGCCCUGCUUAAUACGCGGGGUAUUUGACGGUACCGGCAGAAUAAGCACCGGCUAACUACGUGCCAGCAGCCGCCGUAACAC